GCAUAUCAAUAAGCGGAGGAAAAGAAACCAACAGGGAUUGCCUCAGUAACGGCGAGUGAAGCGGCAACAGCUCAAAUUUGAAAUCUGGCCCUAGGCCCGAGUUGUAAUUUGCAGAGGAUGCUUUUGGUGCGGUGCCUUCCAAGUUCCCUAGAACGGGACGCCAGAGAGGGUGAGAGCCCCGUACAGUUGGACACCAAGCCUUUGUAAAGCUCCUUCGACGAGUCGAGUAGUUUGGGAAUGCUGCUCAAAAUGGGAGGUAUAUUUCUUCUAAAGCUAAAUACCGGCCAGAGACCGAUAGCGCACAAGUAGAGUGAUCGAAAGAUGAAAAGCACUUUGAAAAGAGGGUUAAACAGCACGUGAAAUUGUUAAAAGGGAAGCGCUUGUGACCAGACUUGCGUCCGGUGAAUCACCCAGCUCUCGCGGCUGGGGCACUUCGCCGGCUCAGGCCAGCAUCAGCUCGCUGUCGGGGACAAAAGCUUCAGGAACGUAGCUCUCUUCGGGGAGUGUUAUAGCCUGUUGCACAAUACCCUUCGGCGGGCUGAGGUACGCGCUCCGCAAGGAUGCUGGCAUAAUGGUCAUCAGCGACCCGUCUUGAAACACGGACC
rnacentral:rRNA from 1 species